rnacentral:lncRNA from 1 species
CAAUAACAACAAUAAGUGUUGACACCAAUGCCCUUCUCCCUUUCACAAUACCCAUCCCGACACCAUUCUCCCUCUCACAACAUUUAUCCGUUGCAAACUUCAUCUAUUCGACGCAAAUGGCGAACUUCAUGGACAUUUCACAAGGUGUAAAAGUUUCUCUUAUACAUGAAUUAAAACUUCAUUUCAUCAUGAUUGACUCAUUAACCAUUUUGGCUUGUAUUUUAAUGUAGGUGAAUGUAUGCCGUUAUUCUUUCCAAGCUUACCGGAUGAAGAUGGAAGAGGCUCCUGACUGGAUGUUUGUCUACCCAUUAACUUAGUGCAUUUGACGUGAGCAUUUAAAUUGUUUAUUUGCUUAUGCUCUAUUUUAUCUGUUUGAGGAAGGUUUGAAAAUUUUGAUGGAAAACAGGAAAAUAGUUUUUUUUUUUUUAUUGUUAUUCUGUUUCUUUGGAAACAACUUAUUGACAAGAAUAUCUAGAGUAGUAGAAGUAUCUAGUUGACUAAAAGUCAAUUGCCCAUUCAACGGGAAAUAAUCUCUUUGAUAUGACUUUAGAAUUGCAAAUGACAUUAAUGGUUGGUUCUUAGCUUGUGGGAAGCAUAAACCUCAAUUGAAUUUUAUUUACAGAACAGCUGGCCCUUUUACUUUGUUAAUCUUGUGGUUUUUAUGUUGCUUUUAUCAAUCCUAAUUGUCUUUCUGUUUUGUUUUAAGAAAAAUAAUUCAGCUUGAGAAAAACUCCUCAAAAUCCAAAUUCCAUCAACUCUGAAGAAGCAAUUGGUUGACGAUCGGGAGUUCAUCACUCAACAGAAUAAGCACUACUUGUAAAUGUUGCUGCCAAAUCCACCCUUACCACCCCAAGAAAGAGAAAACCGAAUGAUAAAGCAAAAACUCCCUAUUUUCCAUUUGAGUUUAAAUUCCAGCCUAUUGAUGAGAAUAAAACAUAAUUAAGGACACCUCAUCGAAAGAUAGAAUUUUACUAAAGAAUUUUGAGAACUUUACCUUGUCACUCUAUUGAAAACUGGAUUUGAACUGUUAGAACUCUACUCCUUUGCAGAAUGGAUUCACAAAUCAAGCAUGCCAUUGUCAUGAAUAUCAUGGGCAGGACUAGUUCUCGAGGCCAAGCCACCCAUGUGAGAGUGAUCGAUGACUAGAAUCGGUUCGUCAUGAGAAAUGUGAAGGCACCUGUCAUGUUUAUGCAUUAGUAUGAUAGAUGAAGUUUGCGAAUUUGUAAUUUUUGUUGGAUCUCGUUUUGUCUUAUGAUACUACUAAGGAUUAUCCAUUAAAAAGGUGUUUUGUAAACAAAUUUGUUCUGCAUUUGAAAUUAAUUGGUAUUUUUCCUUUUGCAUUUGUAAACGAAUUUGUAUUCUCCCAC